rnacentral:rRNA from 1 species
UACAUGUGGGGCAAGCGUUGUCCGGAAUUACUGGGCAUAAAGGGUGCGUAGGUGGUUUGUUAAGUCAGGGGUGAAAUCCCGCGGCCCAACCGUGGAACUGCCUUUGAUACUGGCGAACUUGAGUGCGUGAGGGGUAGGGGGAACGAGCAGUGUAGCGGUGAAAUGCGUAGAUAUUGCUCGGAAGGCCAGAGCCGAAGGGGCCCUACUGGUGCGCAACUGACACUGAGGCACGAAAGCGUGGGGAGCAAACAGG